UACGUAGGGUGCAAGCGUUGUCCGGAAUUAUUGGGCGUAAAGAGCUCGUAGGCGGCUUGUCGCGUCGGCUGUGAAAACCUGGGGCUCAACCCCGGGCCUGCAGUCGAUACGGGCAAACUAGAGUAUUGCAGGGGAGACUGGAAUUCCUGGUGUAGCGGUGAAAUGCGCAGAUAUCAGGAGGAACACCGGUGGCGAAGGCGGGUCUCUGGGCCGAUACUGACGCUGAGGAGCGAAAGCGUGGGGAGCGAACAGG
rnacentral:rRNA from 1 species